rnacentral:lncRNA from 1 species
UACUUUUUGUACCAUUUAGCUGUGUCUGUCGGUAUACGUUUGAGACAAUCAUUAAAAUCGACAUGAUAAAGCCCCAUAUUAUGAGAAUAUCCAUCCUUAAAAUCAAAUGUAUCAAAUGCUGCCCAUGCAAAGUAUCCACGAACAUUUACACCAUCACUGUCAAUGUAAAAAUAUUAUUGCAUUAAGUAUCUGUUUCUUUUGGAAACAAAGUUAUAGAAGAAUGGCAUUUCACAAUAGAUUUGUUUCAUAACUUUGAAUUUGUCGCCUUUCGAUAUUAGAUAUAGUUUGAACUAAAACUAUAAAUAUUAAAGGAUACAACUCCUUCAAAGUGAACAAUACAUUUUAUGGGUAAAAACCAUGAUUAUUAGAAAGAGAUUUAAAUUUAUGCUAUAUAUAUAUAUAUAUAUAUAUAUAUAUAUAUAUAUAUAUAUAUAUAAAGAUGAUUAAAUGUUUAAAUAUAAAGUAGGGUUAAAUAUGUUUUUGGUCCCUAUAAAAUUAAGAUCUUUUAAGUUCAGUGCUUACUUAAUUUUAAUAGUUCUUUUAGUCCCCACAAAAUUUUUCUACAAUCAGUAUUAGUCUCUCCUCAAUUCAAAUUUGUUUAAUUUAUGUUUAAACUCUUGAGUUUUCGAACAAAUUUUUGCAGACGUGUUAAGAAAGUUACUAAAGGUUCCUCUGCAAAAAAUUGUCGCAAAAUUUGAUUUUUAUGUUUAGAUUUUGUUAAUUUUAUCUUUAAUUUUUGUCGUUUUAAAAAAUUCAUAUUUAAUUCGUUUCAUGUUAAAAAAUUCUAAAUUUUAGUAAAUGAACCUUUCAUAGUGUUCUAAACUUGUCCAAAAAAUCGUUCAAAAAUUUAAGAGUUUAAGGAUAAUUAAACAAAUUUGUUGUAACAGGGACUAAAAUUAGAAGUAAUUUUUUUUGUAGAGACUAGAAAACCUAUUAAAAUUAAGUAUGGACUAAACUUAGAAGUUUCCAAUUUUAUAGGGACCACAAAAUAUCAAUAGUGAACAAAAGGUAAAAUUACAUUAAAAUCUACUUUAAUUUAACUUGUUAUAAUUUCAUUCUUUUCUUUCGUAAUGUACUUGAUUUUUUUUUCUUUUCCGGUUACCAUGUUAUAUGUAUGAAGUUUAUACCGCCGUUUAUCAGUGACUAAUCUCUAUCUCUAUCAAAAAAUAUGUGAAGGAUACAAGAUGGAUUCUCCCCUCUAAAGUGAUUUUUCUUCAUACACAAGAAUCAAAUUAAAGGUACUUCAUUAUAUUACUAAACAACCGAAAAAAUAUAGUUAAUAGUUUUUUUGAUUUUUUUUUUUUAACUAUACAUUAGUUGAGAAAAACAAUAUUAUACAAGUUUGGAAUAGACACACUAAAAAAUAAAUAGGCCUUAGAAAAGUAACAUUAGAUAAUACCUUUUCAAAUUCUACAAAUGUGAAAAAAUACUUACUCAAUUGCUGUUUUGGUAGCGUUUAUAUGUGCAGUAAUGAAAGCAAUUCGAUGUUUGUCUUUCAAAGGAUUUGGGAUUUUGAUCGAAGGAAUUCCUACAAAGAGAGAAUUUCACAAAAAUAAAAUAAAAAAUAUUGAUCUCUUUUGUGGCAUAAAUUAUAGAAAUUUUAGUUAUUAUGAUGUAAAUAUGAUCAAAAUGAAAACCAACCAUUUUCAGUAAUGUAGAUUUUGGGAUUUUUGUACUUUUUUUUAAUGUAGAGUAAGAAAUUAUAUAAUCCUUCGGGAUAGACAUAUCUACCACCAUAUUGAUCCUACAAAAUAUCAAUAGUGAACAAAAGGUAAAAGUAUAGUAAUUAAGUUAUGCCGUUAACAAAUACCAUUCUUCUAAAUUUACAUCAUUAUUUGCUCACCAAGUAUCCAAGAGUUUUUCCUUCUGCAUUAAUAUCUAUAGUAAUGAAAGAAUGACAAUGAGUUAGACAACGAUUAAUUAUUUUAAUUUCUUGUAAUUUCCUUGCAUAUCAAAUAAUUAGAAUUUGAUUGGUAGAAUUUAAGGUGUUAACUACAAUGACCCUUUUUCAUCGUGAUUCCUUUGUAUACCAAUUAUUUUAUUUUUAAAAAAGUAUAAUUUAUUUUGAAUAAAUUUUUUUACCUUCUGUAUUAGCUAAGGCGUCGAAAUAUCCACCAGUAACCUUGGUUCUAUUUGGUUCAUGUCUAACAAAGUGAGAAGUAUAAUAAUUAAUUCCAAUAAAGUCUAUGCUUCCUUUCAACAUUUCUUUCUCAUUUUUAGUGAAUUUGGGUAGUCUUUUUCCCACUAGCUUUCUCAUUAUUUGUGGAUAAUCCCCAUGGAACAAUGGCUCUAAAACCCUGUAGAAAUACGAGUGGUUUAUUGACCAUCGUAAAAUUAUACAUAGAAUUGAAGAAGCAAAAGAUCAACAAUUGAUAAAACACAAAAUGUGAGUUGUUUAUAGCGUAACUAAAAAGCACUAACCAUCCCCAUGUAAAAUCUGUUAAUCUUUGAGCAGCAUCCACAUCCUCUAGUUUGGAACUGUAAGGAAAAUAUGAUUCUGAUGAAAUAACAAGUCCGAUUUCUCCCUCUUGAAUUGCCUAUAUAAACAAUUUAAUGGAAAAUGACAAUACAUUAUUUUCUCUUAAACAUUCUUCUUAUUUUAUAAACUUUUGAUUAAUGUUGAUAAUUGAUAAUUUGAAUUUUGUUGAUUUUACUACAUCAGUGUCAAAAUCAAUAUUACUAUCACUAUUAUCAAGGAUUUAUAAUCCCUUCGGUCAUGUUGUGAAUCUGGACCCGAUCUCAAUUAAAAGCAACUUUUUUACUUUUUAGGUUCAAUUAAUAAAUUUUGUAUGUGAUAUGCCACAUAUAUCAUUUGUUGAAUGAACCUUAAAAGUAAAAAAAUUUCUUUUUAAUUGAGACCAGAAGAGUAUAUAUGUAACAUAAAAUUUCGAAAAUGUGUCUUACUUGGAAUUUGGACUUGUAUAACUUUGAAGCCAUAGCAUGGGCGAUGAGGAAGUUAUGAAGUUUAGUAUAUACUUCCGUACAUAUCUUAGUAGUUGGACAUGGGUCCGUAGACAAUUUACCAACAUUGUACACGGCUUCAAACACUGCUUGAACUUCUGGCUCGUUAAAUGUAGUCCAAUGUUUUACACGAUCACCAUAUGUUUUGAAUAGGAGUUCACUGUAAUCCUUGAAAUGUUUCCUAAAAUUUGAUUUUUACAUAAACAAUAUAAGCACGCAUGAAGAAAUUCUAUAAAUUUUGAUAGACUAAUUUAAGGUUGAAUCAAUUUAUUGAAAAUAAAUUAUCCAGAAGAGAUUAUAUAUAGGAGAUUUACACAUUAGAGUGAUUUGAGAAGCCACCAAACUUUUUUUGAAGAGCUAAUGGAUAGUCAAGGUGCAAUAUAGUCACAAAAGGUUCAAUACCUACAUAGUCAAAUGGAUCAUGUAAAGCAAGAAAAUAAAAAUUGUUGCAUGUACAUUAAACAUACUUCUUAUUGAAUCUAGUUAUUGCAACGAAUAUUGGAUUCUUCUAUUCAUACCAUUGUUGAGUAACUCGUUGAUCAAAUUGUUGUAGAAGUUGAUACCUUCUUUGUUUAUACCUCCUUUUAAGGUUCCAUCUAUAAAAUUGGUUGUUGAAUAUAAAGAUAAAAAUAAGUAUAUUAUUAAGUAUUGCAAGAAAGGAUAUAUUGAAACACUAUUGGUUGUGCAUAUGAAAUAUAGUUUAAGGAAUUUUAUCAAUAUAGUAAGUUGUGAUUUGAGUAAUGAUUUGGUAAAAUUAUUUGUACUUCCUUUGAAUAACCAUAUAAUUAUUCCCUAAACUUAUUUUUUUUGUUCAACUUGGUUCCUUAAGUUUUUUUUCCUUUCAUUUUAUCCCUUAGGUUAAAAACCUUUUGACAUUUUAUUCAUUUCCAUUAGAAUUUUAUUUGACUCAAUCUAAUAUUCUGAGAAAGACAAAUAAACUAAUAGCCAAUCAAGUAUACUAAGACUCUUAUUCCAAGACAUACUAGUAGAUUAAAGAAAAGAAAUUUUGAAAAUCUUAACAAUAACAACAACCAUCAACCAUCUUUAUGUAAAAAAAAAAAAAAAAAAAAAAAUACUAUCCAUAAUCUCUUUUUUCUUCUAUCAUUGGGAAGAUUCUUAAUCUUCUUUGACUACCUAAACCUACUCAUUUUCACAUUAAUAAGUUCCUUAAUCUUUUAGCAUUCCAUUAAUUAAUAAGUUCCUUUUCUAAACUAUAAGUAGACAUUAUAUUAGAGUAUGUUAGCUCAAAAGUUUUACCUGGUAUUACUCUAUUCCAAGAUAUGGAGAAUCUGUAAGAAUUUACACCAAGAAUCUUCAAUUUUUGCACAUCCUUCUACAAGACCAUUCAAAUUAAAACAAAUAAAAUACAUUCAAAAAAUUAAACAUAAAAAUUUAGGUUUAGAGUUUUCUUCAAUAUUAAUUUUUUUUUUUUAUAAGUAAACUUUUUAUUUAAGGGGUUACAAGGGUACUCAAACCCCAUUACAUUUUUUUUUUUUUAUCAAAAAUAGGCUGGGAGAUUGAAAUUUUUACCAAUGGUAGUUAUAAUCCCUAUUUUAAUCCUAAAGUCCUACGAUUUUGUGAUUAUCUCAAUGAUUAUGAGUAUUCGCAAAAUCUUAUUUUGGUGGAAUUUUGUAUAAUCUAUUUUCCUUUUGAAAUGAUUAGGAUUAUGAUCGUGGUGUUGGAACUACAAAAGAUAAUUUUAGUUGUUGUUUUGUAUGAGACUUAAGAGAUUGAUUUAUCAUUUUAAUUACAUGAUUAUUUCAAGUGUGAUGAUGUUCAUAUAUGAGUGUUAGUGUGUUAAUUACAUAAGUAUUUUAAGUGUUAAUUGUGUAAGUGUUAUGCAACUAUGCUAUUUUGUGAAUUAUGCUUAUGAAUUCAAAUUUACACAAGUAUUUCAUGUGUAAUUUAAGUUUUUUUUUUUUUUUUUUACUUAUGUUGGUUUAUAUGCAUGUCUAUGAAUUAAUAUGCAUAUAAUUGAGUUUUGUGAAUUUUUAAUAAUCCUACGAUUAAUGUAACGAUUCUACGAUUUUACCUCCCCUUAUCGAUUAUGUGUAAACUCUCGAUUUUGAUUUGUUGUCCUCACAUAUGAAAACAGACACAUGAAAAACACAUGAGCACUACCCUUCCACCAAUAGAUAUAUUAUUUUUCAUAAGAUCUCCAACAUGUUGCCUAGUACAACAUCUACAAGAUAUGUUUGGAUUGAGAAUUUAGGAGAUGACUUAUUUUUAGUUUUUAAAUCACGAACACUACAUAUUGUUUUCUGAAAACUUGAAAUAGUAACAAACAUGAUAAAUGAUCAUAUAAUACUUCAAUCACACUUAAUUUAUUUUAAAAAAAUUAUAUUAUCCAUAAUUUAAAAAAGAAAAGAGUAAUUCCUCCACUCCCUUCCCCUUUUAAACCAUCAUCCAAACACACCAUAAUUCCCUCUUUUAACAAUCUAAUUUUUUCAUUCAAAACAUAAGAUUUCUAGCCAUCCACAAUGGGUAGUUUAUUCAUUACUUUUAACUACUAUACUAUUCAUUAUAAUUUUUAUUAUAUUAUAUAUAUAUAUAUAUAUAUAUAUAUAUAUAAUUUCUCCAUUAAAAAAGCAAAACAUCCAAGCAUAGACGCUAAAAGAUUUUGAGUAGUAAUCAACAAACUUGACUAUUAGAAUCGAGAGUUAAGGAGGGAGUCUCAUGGCCACAUUCUUAUCAAAAUAAUAAUUUUUUAGAGGAAGAACUAUACUAUUUUUGUUUUAUAGAUGGAAGAACUAUACUAUUAUUUGCCCGCAAAAAACCUAUAAUACUAUUUAUCAAUAACAAACUCUAUAAUAUCUAAUUGUAGUGAGGAAAAAAAAAUCCAUAGAAAAUGAACUCGCCUUAUAUCUCGUGUAAUGCUCAAUCUUUGUAUCAAAUUUAUCAGCACCAGAAUAUAUUUCUGCUUGUUAAAAAAAAUGCAAAACAAGAAAUUACUAAGAUUGACGCAAAAAGAUAUGAUAACUACAAGAUAAUGUUACUUCUAAAAAGAGUGUAUAUACUACAUAUUCUGUACGGGUGAGGAUAUUUAGACACCUCAUCCCCUAAAUAUUCAUCUUGGUUAUGUCCCACAUGCUCACCUGGUAAGACGCGUCAAGAUCCUCUCCAUUUUGUACCUUCUCCAUUUCUUCUAUUUAGAGAGAUAUAGAUUUAAAUUUUUUUGAAAAAAGUAAAAAAUAAUUAAUGAUUGUAGGACUCACUGUCUAUUUUAUGUGUCUAUCUCUCUCCAAUUGUGUAUUCCAUUUGGAGAGAUAAAGACAUAAUUCUUUUUGAAAAUAAUUAAUAUAGUGGGAUCCACUUAGUGGUAAGAUCCAUUACAUACUACUCCCUCCGGUCCUUAAUAUAAGAAAAAGUUAACUUUUUAAGUUCAUAGAAUAAUUAAUGUAUCUUAUUGAAAAUAUAGACUAGAUACAUCACUUAAACAAUGAACUAAAAAUGUCAACUGUUUCUUAUAUUAAGGACCGGAUGGAGUAUUUUGUAUCUAUCUCUCACCAAAUGAUAUUAUCCCUGUAUUUUUAGAAAUGGAGAGGAUCUUAACUCAUUUGUCCGCUACUCUUUUCUCAUUCUAUAAACCAAUUACUACCUAUUCCAACCCCUAAAAAAAACUACAUAUUUUAAGAUGGAUGAAAAAAAAAAUUAACUAACCAUUAAGCAUUUGUCAAAAAUAAUAUAAUAAAUUGGUUAUAUAUAUAUAUAUAUAUAUAUAUAUAUUGGGGGCAUAUCUGAAUGACAUUUGUACGUGAGAAUGGUAGGAAUAAAUUAUAGCCAUCAGAUUAAAAACAAAGGUUGAGAUUAAAAGAUGGUUUAUUGAGUCAUGCACCAAACAUGUGUCUAUUCUCACUUCCUCUUUCGGUCUGCGCUCUGUUUUUUUUUUUUUUUGGUACGAUCGUUCCCUUUCUAUUCUAUUAUCUCUAUGAACAAUGAAUUUUUCGACUUCUUUUCCCAUAUUCUCAUUAAUGUUCUUCGUCCUCCAUACCCCUUUCUAUUUGAUAUUUUAAUUAAUUAAUUUAUUUAUUCAAAUUUAGACCUGCAAAAUAUUAAAAAUCUCUAAUUUAUAAAGUUGGAUUUAACCUAAAUCUUGGAGAAUUAGCGUUGUGCCGAAAUCGGUGAAGGUGCCGUAACUGAUGGUGGUGCCGGAAGUAGUAGUGGCUAUUUGCUUUGCGAUGACAAUAGCAAAUUGGAGGGUUGCCAAUUCAGCAUUGUGAAGUACUUUCAUUAUGGCGAGGCGCCGCCUUUGGUGGGAAGAAGAGGUGGUUUGCCAUAAGAGAUGAUGGAGGGCGAUGGGAAGAAGAAGAAUAAUAAGAAGAAAGGUUAAAGCAGGACGGGAAAAGAAAGGAAACCAUACUGUACGUGCAAGAAGUGAAAAUUGGCACAUGACUCAAUAAAACAUCUUUUAAUCUGAAGGUUGUAAUUUAUUCCUACCAUUCUCACAUAUAAAUGUCACUAAUUUUCUUUCGUUAGUUUAUUUUUUUUAUAUGGGAUAAUGUAUAAUAUAUGCAAGGUUUGAGAUUCGAACCUUGACCACCAUAUAAAAAAAUGGUAGAAAGAUAUACACUAAUUAUAUGUCUAUCCGUUUUUCUAUUACAUAAUAUAAUAAAUUCCUUUUACAGUGAUCAAUUAUGAUUGUUCCAGUUUCAAUUAGAUUUAACUAUUUUUUUUUAAUUAAUAAUUCAAAUAACAUCAUAAUAAUAAAAGGAUAAAAUAGUAUAAUUGAAUGGAAAAAGCCACAUAAAAACUAUGUAUCCCCUUUUUAUAUAAAUAGAUAUAGAUAUAGAUAGAUUAUACCGUCAAAUAUACCAAGUCCUCUUCCUCCUUCAUGCGAUCCACCUUCAAUCUACGGUCACAAAAACUUAUCAGUAAUUGUGCCUUCGAUCUACAAUCUCAAAACUUAUCAAAGGCCUGCGAAUUUUUAGCAUGUACCUGAGGAGCUGAUGUUCCAGCACCAAACAAAAAGCCACGUGGAAAUGUUUCCCGAUUCGGAAAGCUUGAUGAAUUUACAAAUUUCAACAUAGAGUCAUGUGCAUUAGUGGUAGCUCCUUCUCCAAUCUGUAUUACUCUUGUCUCACGUUGAGAUGGUUUCUGCGAGGGAAGUAGAAGUAUACCUGCAAUAGUAACAUUAAAAUACACUUUGCAUUACUCUAUUUGUCGUAAGUUAUAAGUCACGUUGCAAAAAAUAAUUUGUUUAAAAUUAGAAAUCAUUUGACUAUAUUCAUAAAACAUUAUUGUUUCCUCUUACAAAAUUAACUAUAAUUUUUUACUUGAUUAAAAACGGUAUAAAUAUAAAAUAGGAAACCAUGUUUACUUGAUUAAAAAAAGUGAGAACUUCAUUUAUUGAAGAAGAUGAUUAUCUAAAAAUAAAAGAAGUAAAAUGCUCAUACCUUGUGCCUGGACCCGAAUGUUGGAAAGCAAAACAAGUGACAAGAUUGCAAGAACAGUUUUAGUAAUUCUCAAAGAUGACAGAAUCUCCAUUUUCUCCAUCUAAGAAAACUUUGGAAGUUGAUAGAAAAAUGACAACUGUAUUGUUUGAGAUUUCUUCAGUAAAUACAUAUAUUGCUAUAUAUAUAUAUAGACCUUCUAACUAAUAUUUAUUUUUUUGUUUUUUAACAAAGAUUAAAUUAAGUUGUGAGAAAUUAAUUGAAAAAGGAGCACAUGCUAGCGACCACAUAAUUUUUUGAAAGAAGGUUAGCACCUUUUUUUGAAAGGUGGUUGGGUUAGCCAAAAAGCUUCUUAUUUUUAUGUUUUAUUUAUUUCCUUUAGUUUUCUUUUGUUUGGAUAAGUUUUUUUUUUCUUCUUUCUAUAUAUUAGAAUUUAAAAUUCAACAUAUGUUGAUUCAAUUGAUUAAAAAUUUAUUCAUACAACAUAAUGACGUAGUUCACCUCUCUUGCUUUGUAUUCUUCUCAGUGAUGGGAGUCCCCACCCUCUUUUGUAGCUUAUUUUCUUCUUAGGGAUUCUUUAGGUCUCCCUUACAUUAGGACUGAUAUGGAUUAAUUGUUGUAAGUGGUUUAGGCAGAUUACUUUUAUAUCAUUUUCUAGCUUUAUAAAAAUAAACGUAGUUCAUCUCUCGUUGUCAAUGUGAGGACGUCAAUAUUCUCUAGCUUUGACAAAGUAAAACUCACUAUAUUUGCAAAAUUUUAUCCAAGUGAAUUUUGUCUAACGAGAAUGCUGAUGCUUAAUCAUAGAAAACAAAUAAGCGAUCUUGUAAAAAAAAAUUGGUUGAAACUAAAAGUUAUAUCAUAUAUCCGUUAUUCUAUAAAAUUUUCUAGUUUUGACAAAGUAAAACUCACUAUAUUUGCAAUGUUUUAUCCAUAUGAAUUUUGUCCAACUAGAAUGGUGAUGCUUAAUCAUAAAAGAUAAAUAAGCUACCUUUUUAAAAAAAAUUGGUUUAAUCUAAAAGUUAUAUAUAUAUUAAAAGAAGGAGUUGUGAUAUUUGUACAACUAUAUCUAACAACUUUGAUGACAACUUUUAUUUACUCUCUUCCUAUUGGUUCAAAAUAAUAUGAAUAUGAGAGAGAAAGUUGUCAAAAAGUUAUCAAAAAUUGGAUUUACAUAUAAAAGAAGGUUAGCAACUUUUUUUUGAAAGGUGGUUAAGUUAGCCAAAAAGGUUCUGCCGCUAUACAAUUUUGAAUACUGUGUAUAUGUAUUACUUUAUAGUUUUAUUUGAUUUCUCUUCUUUUUUUAUGUUUUAUUUAUUUCCUUUUUUUUCAUUUGUUUUGAUAAAGUUUUUUUUUUCUUUUCUAUAAAUUACUCUUCCAAACUUUUAAUGAUAAAUAUUAGAAUUUAUAAGUCAACGUGUGUUGAUUCGAUUGGAUUUAUUCAUACAACAUAACGACGUAGUUCACUCUCGUUAUCGAUGUGAGGACAUCCUUAUUCUCUAGUUUUGACAAAGUAAAACUCACUAUAUUUGCAAAGUUUUAUCCAAGUGAAUUUUGUCCAACUAGAAUGGUGAUGCUUGAUCGAUCUUUUAAAAAAAAAUUGGUUGAAACUAAAAGUUAUAUUAAUUUUGUUUUUUGAAAGAAGGUUAGCACCUUUUUUAUGAAAGGUGGUUAGAAUUUAUAAGUCAACAUAUAUUGAUUCAAUUGAUUAGAAAUUUAUUCAUACAAUAUAAUGAUGUAGUUCAACUCUCGCUAUCGAUUUGAGGGCGUCUUUAUUCUCUAGAUUUGACAAAGUUAAACUCACUAUAUUUGCAAAUUUUUAUCCAAGUGAAUUUUGUCCAACUAAAAUGGUGAUGCCUAUAUUAUUUAUCGGUUAGUCUAUCAAAUUUUUAUUUUAACUUAACAAUGAUAUUUUUUGACAAUGAACAAUAUAAUUUUUCAAUAUAGAUGAUUUUUAUGAUAUUAUUAUAAUUGAUAAUUAAAGUUCAAAAGUUUAACCCCCUAGCUCGUGAUCCUUGCAACGCCAGAUGUGAUUUUCUUUUGUAAUAUUCUUUUUGAUUUUUCAAAAAAAAAAAAAUUAAUAAUUCAAAAAGCAACCUCUUCUAGGGAAGCAUAGCUUGAAAGAAGAGGGUCGAGUGAGGCCACCAUUGCCUUAGGCCCACCACUCCCUUUGUUUUUAAAUGUCAUUAAACUAAUUUGUCCGCAAUAUAAAUUAAUCAAUGGAUAUCACAUGAGAAGCAAGCAAGUCUUGAAACAACAUAUACUUUAAAUAAAAUUAUUUUGUUGCACACAUAUAAAUAUUGGGAAAUGAUUAAAAGCACGACACAUUUUUUCGUGCAUAUCCCACGAUUGAUUUUGUAUUUGACAAGUCAACUAUAUUAAAUUCUAAAAUCAUUUUGUUCCCUUUAACGAAGGGCUUACUGUUAACUACCAAAGCUCUAAAAUUGUCUAAUGGUGGAAAACAAAGCUCUGUUCUCAACGAAAAACACAACCAUCAAACUCCUUUUAUUCCUCCCAUGCGACUCCACUGUACAGUCACCUGCAUCGUAACCCCGUAGACAGUCACCAGUUUCUCCGGUUUUACCCCAUCCUCUGAUGUCGGUGAAAGAGGUGUCGCAGUAGCAAAUCGUAGUCACAAUUAGGUAAAAACGACGAGACAUGAAUGAGUGGGUAAAAACGACGAGACUAUAAAUCCUUGAAACAAGCCAAUCAUAUUUUUGAAAGAAAAAUACCAUAAAUCAUGAUUCAUGAAGAAAGCUAUCACAACAAUCCGAUAAAGAGAGAGGAGGAUAAAAAUGUGAGUGGGUGAUAGACAAAGAGAGGUUGUUGUAUCAAAAUUUAUAUUAUUUUAUUUGUUGAAAAUCCAUAAAGUCUCUGACCAUGAGUAAUGAAAAUUUGCGUUGUCGUGCAUGUCGUGUGGCUAAACUGUCGUGCGAUAUAGCAUUACUCUUGUAUAAAUGGUAGAUUGUGGCUUUAAAGAGAGAAUCACGCAGCAGCAUGAGCAAAGUACAAAGGAUUAUGCCAAAGUAUUAUUAUGCCUCAAAUGAUCUCCUUAAGAAAAGCAUGGAAUCAUAAAUGAGAAAUUAAGAAUAGCCGUCAUGAGAAACAUUUAAAAAUAAUUAUGCAAUUUUCAUAAUAAAAAAUGGCUUUUCAAGAAAAAUAUUUUAAUGCAAAAUCAUGUUUAUAUGAAAAAUAUUGUGAGUAUGUGAUUUAUUUUCAUGAGAGCUUUUUAACCACUAAAAGAAAGUGCUAAUACCACUACCAAAAAAAGAAAGUCCUAAUACAAAGAAAAAUUAAAUAAUUUAAGACUUGAUAGCUUGAAUUUCUUUUCCGCCUUUUACAUCUUUGUUCUUCUAGGACUUCUUUUGUCAAUCAUCAAAACCAAAGUAUUCCUAUCAAGGCAUAUAUUCACAUAAAAGAUUUCUUUUUUUCAAUUGUGGCUUUAGUGAGUAAUUAGGUCUUGUCUCUAUUUAUAUAGCCUGAAUGCAGAAUAGGUGUGAUGCGCAAGUCUUGGCUAAUGAUCAGUUGAAAUCUCGAUCUUCAACACAAGAUAUAUGAAGCAGAUCGGAUGUUUCCUUAAAUGCUGCAACAAAGUUCUUAAGGACUAAGAUAAGAACAAAUCACCUUUCUCUGCUUCUAGAACCAGACUAUCUUGGUUAACUCUUUUUGUGAUACAGAUCUUUAGAUAUUCUAUGAAAAUCACGUUUAAAAAUGAAUCUCCAAGAAGCGGAUCAAGGCACGCGCUGAUGUCGUACCAACAUGUUAAUACAUUAUGUCUGGCAUCUUGCUAUAACUAAAGUUUUAACAAAAUGAAGCCAAUACAUGUCUAAAAACCUAACAAUCUCCCCCUUUGACAAAUUUUGCCUAAUACAACCUUUGCAUUAUGAACAAAAGAAUGAGAGAUCAUAAGGUCAUACCUUCUUUCUCUCCUUCAUAGGAAUUCAGUACGAAAGAAGAUAAGAUAUGAGCUUCAACAUUAUUUAGAAGGAACUUACUUAAAAAUAAUGCACAGAUGGACAUGUUGAGACAUCAUCCAACACAUCAGAGGCGUUCGCAGCAACAGAUUGAAUAUGGAACCCAACCUCACAGAAAGUAUUUAGGAGAAAUAAACUCCACAAAGAGAAAUAAACUCUCAUUCAUUUAUCAGCCCAUGGAGAAAUAAACUCCCACAUAUAAUGCAUCAGAGAAAAAAAUAAAUUUAUAAUAUAUUCAAGAUGUCAGGGCAUCUGUAAGACAUCAGUUCAUCAGAACGCGCACACACACCCACAUGCAUUUCAAUCAAGCACAUACUAGCAUAAAUCUAUUCAUGUCUAAGCCGGAUAGUAACAGAUAAUGCUUCCCCUCAAUGGUAGAUCAAAAUAUAUUUAUGCUCCCCCUCAGGCUAUGAAUGCUUAGCACCAUGCAUAAUGAAAAUCUACCAUUAUAAGCUACUACCCCUUUUUAGCCAUAAAUUAUGAGAAACUAUCAUGCAUAAAGUAUAAAUAUUACAGACCAGGCAUUGCCCAUAAAUAUCAAGAAGUAAUAGAAGAAUUUUUUUUUUUUGAAAGUCUGGACUGCCUUCAGUGUCCACACUAGCUUUCCUUUCAGUGUUGGACUAGAUUGUUUCUUCCAAGGUUUUUUAUAUUUCUUGAAGCUCAGCAAGGAUACCUUCCUUUGUAGUGGAGCUGGCAGCUUCUUGUUCAGAUGUUAGGACAAUGUCUGGGACAUGUAAUCCUACAAGCAGGUUAUAGUGAAAAGUAAGACGGGAUUCCCUCUUGGUUGCAACAUCAGAACUUACCACGAUUCCAGGAUGUUGGUUCUGAAUGAUAGCACAAAUGAGUGACGGAAAGGAAAUGGGCAUCUUUAUAGAAAAUGUUUAAGCAUGCUUCAUAGUUUGCUCAAAGACAUAUGAACCAAAGUUGAAGUUAGUUUUUGUUCCUACAAUGUAAAUAAAUCUUCCCAAACCUGUAGCAAUAGUGGAGAUUGAUGAGAUAAAACCACAAGUGCAAGGUCUUACCGAAAUAGUAUGAAAAGAGUAUCGUUCCGACAGGGAGUAGUUUAAUUCAAUUUACCUUUGAUAAUGAUUAGAGGAGAAAAGAGUUGUAAGUUGAGGUUUUCAAGCGAUUGAAAGAUAAUAAUAAUAAAAGGAGUUUGGGAUCGUUGGUUCAUCUAAAUGACAAGUCAUUCACAAACCAAACUAUAAGCUUAUAACUUUAUGCUAGACCUAAUUUCUCAAGACAGUUUCUCUUUUGUUCCUUUAGCAACCAAGCCUAUUUCGCUGACUUGAUUACUAUUAGAUUUUGGUUCCUCUAACAACCAAGCCUAUUUCGCUGACUUGAUCAUUAUUAGUUCCCUUGAAGAUCGAAACUAUAUGUCUCAAAGAUUGCAAAGACUAUUUCGCUGCCUUUGCAAUCCUUGUCUAAAUUCACUUGUUCGAAUAUCAAAGCUCCACUUUCGUUUUAUGAAUUGAUAUUUGAGAUGAUGGAUAAACAAUUAUCAAACCCUCCACUUUCGUUUCCACAGUUUGAUAAUGGUUGAUCCAUGUUAAAGCGGUGAAUUUAGAUAAUAAAUUAGGGUUACAUAAGAUUAAGGCUUAGAGCUUGGCUUGAUUAGGAUUAUGUCAUUUAGACUUAUCCAACAAUCCCAAGACAAAGAGAAGUCUACUCACUCAUGUUCAUCGUAGACAUGGGGAAGAAGAGUGAAAGAAUAAAAGUAAAUGACAAGAAAAUAAAGGAAAAGAAAAGAACUUUUAUUAGAAAAGCAAUUGUCACUUAUUGAAUUCCAAGAAAAGAUGAAUAUUUUUUAUGGAUAGCUACUCUAUUUAUAGCAUACAUUCGACUUAAAAUCUAAGCAAUUACAUUACUGGAAUGUUCCACAAGAAACUGCGGGCUAAAAUAGAGUAGCUUAAAAUCUAAGCAAAAGUAGCAAAAGUUACUCUGGAGGGUGGCACGGCCGUGCCAAUGCUAGCACGGGCCGUGCCAAUGCUAGCACGGGCCGUGCCAAGCUCCAAGUCCCUUUCUUUUGCUCCAAGACUCAAUCCAUCCAAUAUUCGUUCCUGAAAUAUAAUAAAGUGCAAUUUGUAGUAAACUAACUCAAAAAGGGAAUAAUACUAAUAUAAAAUAAAAUAAAAUCCAUUUAAAAUUAAACUAAAUAACAUAUAAAAAUAAAUAUUAAAUGACUCAUCAGAGAUAUGAUUGGUUGGCACCUAAUUCGCAGCUCCUAUCCUGUGGAGAACGGCAUACUUCACACUUAACUUGUUUGAGGCCAAGUUACAUUUGAUAGGCCAUUUUUUGACUUGAUUUGCUGUAAUUUCCUGGCAAAUAUCAUUAUCAGUGAUUUCCACUUCAGCAUGUUCUUCCUCACUGCUGCCUAAAACUCUAUUAAUUAUCUCAGGGGAGAAUUCUACACACUUUCCUCAGACAAAUACUUUCCUGUACUCAGUGCUUAGGGUAUUGUCACAAUCCUUAGGAAUGUUGACUAUGAAUUCUUUCACCAGCAAUUCAUAACAAUUGCCAAAGCCACAUACACUUUUAUUAAUCCAGCUUUAUCAACGAGUUUCAUGAUUUGCUCGCACUCUAGCGCAUCCUUUCCCAAUUCUCUUUCCAAUUCCAAUCUCCUUUGACAUAUGUACUUCCAUUUUAGAGCGUUGGCCCCAUGAUGGAAGGAUGUAUUAUCUGUAGGUGUCUCAUUAACAUUUGCUGGAAUCUUCUUCCCAGACGUUCUCCUUUUACCUAAAGGCAUGAUGUCCUGAACAUCUUGUUCAACAUCAUACUCAGAAUUUGAGGAUGAUACUUCCUUUCUUUACAGAGACCUUUUCUUUUUAUUAGAAGAGAUGACCUUACUGCAGCUUUUAGCAGGUCCCACAGUCACCUUCCUUUUAGCAUCCUUAGUGGGUUGACUUUCAACCAUGGUAGACUUUCCUUUCCUCUUUCAGUCUUCUGGCAACAGUCAUUUCAGCCAGAGGUAUUUCAUCUUCUUCACUUAUUCGCCAAUCAAAUAUUCACCAAUUGUAACACCCUAUUUUAUUAUUUAUUUAUUUUAUUGAGUUUAGAUGUCUUUUUAUAAUGGCUUAAUUGCACUUUUAGACCCCUAUCUUUCCAAAAGUUGCGGUUAUGGACCCCUAACUAAUUUAAAUACAAAACAGCCCCCUAUGUUUUGAUUCUUUGGUAGUUUUGGACCUCCAAGGCAAAAAAAAUAAAAAAUUUGACACGUGGCACCUCACUUAGGGUGCCACGUCAGCGUUGACCGAGUCAACAAUGGACCGGGGGUCCAAAACUGCCAAAGAAUCAAAACAUAGGGGGCUGUUUUGUAUUUAAAUUAGUUAGGGAUCCAUAACCGCAACUUUUGGAAAGAUAGGAGUCCAAAAGUGCAAUUAAGCCUUUUAUAAUUUAGUCGAUUUGUUUUGAUGAGUGAUAUUUUAUUAUGUUAUAUGUUGGUAUUUAUUAGUAUAUAUAUAUAUAUAUAUAUAUAUAUAUAUAUAUAUAUAUUAUUUGGUGUAGAAAUAUAUGUUAUUUUGUGUAGAAAUAUUAUGUUAUUUGGUGUAGAAAUAUAUGUUAUUUUGUGUAGAAAUAUAUGUUAUCUGGUGUAGAAAUAUAUUUCUUAUUUGGUGUAGAAAUAUAUAUAUGUUAUAGAAAUAUAUUUGUUAUAGAGAUAUAUUUGUUAUUCGUUACAGAAAUAUUAUAUAUAUAUAUAUAUAUAUAUAUAUAUAUAUAUAUAUAUAUAUUAGAAUAGAAUAUUGAGACUUAGAUGACAGAUUUGUAAAUAAGAGAAAAUAAGUAGGUUAAUGAUUUAUAUAAAAAGGGAGAAAACAAGAGAAGAACCAAGAGAAGAGAUAAGUGAGAGGAGAGAAGAAUCUUGUGAGAAGAAGAUCAAUCUUGUAGAGUCCGACCAUCUAAUUUAAGGUAAGAGUGGGAUUAACUUUCUCUAAUUCUAAGUGGUAUAAUUUUUUACAAGUAGUGGGAGGUAGUUUUGAGGAGUUGAGAACUAGGUUAAAAUUGGAGAAUUGAUUAAUUGAGAAGACUAAACGGUUAAAUUGAUGUAGAAAUAGUAUCCUGACCUUAGACUAUUCGUAGAACAAAGUUUAGAAUUAGUUUUAAGGUUCUUGUAAUUUAAAUGCCACACGAUUUUGGAUUUCAUGUGCAUAUGGUAUAAGUUUUCUGUUUACAGCGUCCUUUUCUUCAAUUAUACCUAUAGAAAUAUAUAUUAGAACAUAAUCCCAUGAUUCAUAUGUAUAUGUAUGUUUAUUGAUUUCAAAAUUAUUGAUUCCGAUGUUUUCAAAAUUUAGGAACACUAAUAUGUGAGUUUCCUUAAUUUCUAAGAAUGAAUUGAUUGAAAAGUACUUGAGUAAUUAUACUACAUCAUGAUGCUGUCCAAAAUAAGCUAUAAAUGAGGCAACUUGAAUUCUAUAGAUGAAUUUACGUGUGCUACCAUGUGACUUCUUUCAAAUCGUGAGAUAGCAAGAUCCAACAAUUUUGUUAACAAUUUAAGGCUAUGUGUAAUCGUUACUCGAGUUCUGUUCCGAACUAAUCCUAUUGAUGCCACAUUACUUCUUACUAUUGGAUAUGCAUAAUUUGUUGCUCUUUCUUUAUUUAAAUCUUUGAUUCAAUACUACUUGGUAGAUUUAAAAUUGUGUAAUUGAUGUGUUAUUUAAUGAUGUGUAAAUAAUAAAAUAUUUGAUGAUUUGUAAGUUGUCGUCAAUGUCGUUAAAGUUGUCAAGUUGUAAGAUGUUGAUUCAAAUUAUUUGAGUCAUAUAAGAUAUCUAAGUUGUUUAAGUUGUAAGACGUUGAGUCCAUGCAUACUCAUUUAAGUUGAGGGCUUGAUGCCCUAUAAGUUGAGGGCUUGAUGCCCUGUGAGCCUAUUUACGCUCAAUACGUUGGGGCUUGAUGCCCUAGUUGGUACCACAUGCAUGAUUAAAAGGUUGUAGUUGCAUUUUGUUGAGAUGGUUCAAGAUGUGUAAGAUGUCUAAGUUGCAUUGUCGAGUUGAAGUUGUGUCGUUGUUGUUAAGUUGUUAUUUACCCAUGUGUCGUUAAUGAAGUGAUUAUGAUGUUCAUUAUGAUGUUGUUAUGUUGUUUAUGAUGUGAAGUAUAUGAUGUUAUAAACUGAUGUUUAUGAUGUAAUGUUUAUGUUGUUUAUGUUGCUAUAUGACGUUGUGUAUAAUGUGAUGAUGAAUAUGAAGUUAAUGAUGAUUAGAAGUUGAUUAAGUUAUUAAUGAAGUAUUAUAAGAAGAGUAAUGUUAUUAAUUGAUGAAGUAUAAGUUGUUAAAUGCUUUUGAUGAAUUAUAUGCUUAUUAUUAUUGAAUGUGAAAUCUCACCCCUUCUGCUUGGAAAUGUUGCUCUUCAUAUGAAUAACUUGCAGGUGAUCGAGUUUAAGCUGCUGUUAGAUUGCUGUCGUGAGUGUACUAUCUCUCACGUGUGUCUUUAGGUGCUCUGAUACGUAACGGGAUGUGAACUUUGUUGCAUGCUUUUCUAUUCCUUAUGUAUUACUUUAUGAAGUUUAUGACUAAGUUUUUUGACUGGAUUUCUAUGAGAUAUUUAUGAUGAGGCCUUCGUGUCAAAGACUACUGUUUUUAGAUGUUGAAUAAAUUCCGCUGCGAAGUAUUAAUUAUUAUGUUAUUGAAUUUUGAAGGAUAAUUAUUCUGUUUAUGAUUUUAAGAAAAGAAGUGUGACAUUCCGUUUAUGUGAAUUACUCUGAUUAUUUUUAUGAAAUUUUUAUGUUGGGAAAAGGGGUGUUACACACAUAUUCAUCAAACACAUAGAAGGUAUGACACAUGUCAAAUUAUGCAAUGUGCGUAGACGCGACUCCUAUAUGCAUGUGGUACCAACCGUCACCAAGGUCGUCACCUCAUGAUGCAACAAAAACAUCAUAGUCAGUAGUUAUAAUUGAUGGCUAUAUGGAUACAAGUAUCCGGUCAACGACAAUAUGGAUAUAAACAUCCAACUCGACAUAUGAUGCAUGAACAUAUGACUUAAUCAACCAUGCAUAUCUUCAUGACGAUUCAACGGCUAUAAUCAACGACUAUAUCUUCUUCACUCUCAGAAAUAUUCUUCUUACCCUCAGAACCUUCUUCCUCAUCACUGUCAGAAGACUCAUCUUUCUUAUCAGUAUCUGAUUCACUAUCAUGUUUUUCAUUGGAUUCAGAUGGGUCAGUCGUAUGGAACAUAGAUAGUUUGGACCACAUUUGUUGUAACAUCAGGCACAACAUCAUGUUGGAUAGGGUUUGUAUGUUUUGGAAUAGUGAUAAUUUCAGUAGGAGACAUCACAUGAUCUGAUUUAUCAACAUUUGUGGUAGAAUUAUCAUCUAUAGAUUCUUUCAGACUACAUUGACCUAUGAUAUCAUCAGAACCAGACUUAACAGGUGUUAUGGUGUCAGAAACAAUGGGGUCAGUAUAAAGACUGGUCAUAUUGUUUGGUUUCUGUGUGACAACCUUAGGUUCAGUAGUUUUAGCAAUUUCAGAAGGUUCAGGAACAAAUACAGAGGGGCUAGAGAUCUUACCUACAACCUGGGGCUUACCUCUUUUGGUGGUUGAGGAUUUAGUUCUUCUUUUUGUUGGGAUCUGACUAGGGACCGUAGUGACAAGAACAACAUCGACGAUGAUCUCUGAUGAGCCUUUUUUAACAUUAGUUCGAGGUUUAAAGGGGGUAUAGGCUUUCUGAGGAGUAGUUUUAAAGCCCUUCGAUGGCCUGUCUUUUGGAUCAACAAACUUCAUUUUGAAAAAUGGGAGAUGAAUUGAACUGGUCAUAUAAAGACUGGUCAUAGUGUUUGGUUUCUGUGUGACAACCUUAGGUUCAGUAGAGAUAUGAAGAUGAUGCGAGUCAGUUUUAUAAAUUGAUGAACAAAAAUUAUGAGCGAAUAAGUAAAGGGAAGUUGAGAGUGAGCAGUUGAAUGGUUACUAAAAACUUCCUUAACUCAGUGUGCACCAAGAGAGGGAAGAAAAAGUAACCGUUAUGAACUUCUUUUUCUGUAACUACUAUGAUUCAAAAACACAAAUUCCCAAUUUACCCCUAAGCUUUUCAAAUUGGUUCACAUCUAAUGCUUUGGUAAAAAUAUCCGCAAGUUGAUUUUCAGUGGCUACAUGUUCAAGGGUGACAACUCUCUCUUCCACAAGGUCUUUAAUGAAGUGAUGACAAAUGUCAAUGUGUUUUGUCCUGCUAUGUUGGAUAGGAUUCUUGAAUAUGUUGAUAACACUCAGAUUUUCGCAGUAUAAUGUCAUGAUAUCUUGUUUGACAUUAUAUUCCGUUAACAUUUGUUUCAUCCAAAGUAGUUGAGAGCAACUACUUCCUGCAACAAUGUAUUCACCUUCGACGGUGGAUAGGGGCACACAAUUUUGCUUUUUGCUAAACCAUGAGAUAAGGUUAUUUCCCAGAAAGAAGCAUCCUCUUGAGGUGCUUAUUCUAUCAUCUGCACUAUCUGCCCAGUCAGCAUCACAAUAUACCACAAGAUUGGAGUGUGAGCUAUGUGAAUACAUCAUGCCAAACUCACUAGUACCACUAGCAUAUUUUAGAAUUCUUUUCACUUGAGUUAGAUGGCUCAUCUUAGGUUCAGCUUGAUAUCUGGCACAUACUCCUAUUGCAAAGGUGUUUUAUGGUCUACUAGUCGUAUGGUAUAGUAGACUUCCUAUCAUGCUUCUGUAGAGACUUUGAUCAACACUCUCACCUUUUUCAUCCUUGGUCAACUUUAAGUGUGUUGUGGCAGGUGUUCUUAUGUGACUAGCAGUUUCCAGACCAAAAUUCUUUACGAUACUUUUAGCAUAUCUUGAUUGAGAUAAAAAGAUGGUGUCUUCCAUUUGUUUGACUUGUAGACCAAGAAAGUAGAUCAGUUCCUCAAUUAAGCUCAUUUCAUAUUCAGAUUGCAUUUGAUUGACAGAAUGUUGGACCAUCUAAUUUGACAUUCCAUCAAACACAAUGCCAUCAACAUAUAUCUGAGCUAUCAUUAUUCCGCCAUCUUCAUUUUUUAUAAAGAGAGUUUUUCCAAUUACUCCUUUUCUAUAUCCAUUCUUGACUAGAAAUUAUGUUAGCCUUUCAUACCAGACCCUUGGUGCUUGUUUUAGCCCAUACAGAGCUUUCCUCAGUUAGUACACAUGUUAUGGAAGAUAUGGUCAACAAAUCCCUUAGGAUGUUUACCAUACACUUUGUAACAGCUCGAUUUUCGCUAGAAUUAUUUUUAAUUGUUUUUAUGUGUGUUUAUUUAUGCUCGUAUGUGACUAAUUGCCUAUGGGUGCAUUUUUAUGGGUUUUCGUGUUGGAAGAGUAAUUUAGUAAAUUAAUGUGAAGAUUAUUUUUAGUGUUUCAAGUGAGAUUCAUUAUUUUACUAAGUUACUAGUGUGGUAGUUAGUUGUGAGCCGGUAAGUGAUCGUGGUUAUUAUUUCACCGUUAAGUGAAUAGAAACAUUUUUUAAUUAGUGAAUGAAUGAGUUAAGCCCAUUAAGACAUUAAUGGUUGAGCCCAUUGAGAGGAGCCUAUAUAAGUUCUAGUCUUUAGAGAAAAAUAAGUUUUCAUAUCAUUUCAUAAGAAUUUUGAGAGAGGUAGAGAGAGAAAGUUCAAGAGAAGGUCAAAAGGGUUAGAAGGAAGAAAGCUUGAAGAACCAAGAGGUGAUAGAGAUUCUAGGAGCUAAAUUGAAGGUUUUGCUAGGAUUAUUGCUUAUUGAGGUAAGGGGGUUAGAUUUCAAUCAUAAUCACUUAGUUGUAGCUUCUACCCUAGUUCCAUGUAUAAGUGCUUACUUGGAUAAGGUGAUUAUUAUGAAAUUAAUUGAUGAAAUUCGUGCUUAUGCUUUGAUGUAAUAUUUGGGUAUGUGAAAUUGAUGUUAAUUGAGUUGUUGAUGAUGAAUUUACAUGCUCAAGUUAUGUAUAUAUGUAUACUUGUGUUUUUGCUCAAAAUUGGUGAAAUAUAAUGUUAUUGUUGAUGAAUUCACUUCUGAUUGUUGUUGUUGUGAUUGUAAAUAGUUGUUGUUGAUGAUUGAAACCUUGGGUAAUCUUAACCAUAGAGCUUGAAGUGAAUUUGUGUUGUUCUUGAAGUUUUUAUAAAAAAUGGGUCAAAUGGUGAUUUUUGUUGAAAUGAUAUUUGAUUCAAGUUUUUAUAUGGAUUUGAGUGUCUUUUCAUGUUUAUAAAUGUUUGGACAAACUUUGGGCAUUGGGAAGUCAAAAUUGAGAUUUUUGGAAUGAAAAAAGGGUUUUUCCCGUAGCAGAACUCUAGAAACCUAUCACAACUCGCCAUGGCGAGUAGGAUGCGAGUAGGAGGUGCUUCAUGUGUGUUAACUCGCCAAGGCGAGUGAUUCACUCGCCGGGGCGAGCGACAUAGUGACAUCAUCCUCUGUUUCGCGCUCUUGCAUCUUUUUCACGCAUUUCUGUUUUGAAUUGGCCUUCGGUGUAAACAUUAAAUUUUUAGAUAAUUGUGUUAGCUUUACAGUGGCUUUGAUUUGACUUGAAAAUGAUUUUUGGUUUUUGACUUAUGAUGAAAAUACUCCAAGGAGGUCUUAGUGAAAUUUAAUGAAAAUUCCGCAUAACUAUUUCUAUGUCAACCCAAAACUUAUGGAUUGUUUCCAAACUUAGAAACUUGUGUACUAUGAAUUCGAUUAAGGUGUUUCAGGGUAUUUAAGUUAUGUUGUGUUGGAUCUAACUUUGUUUGUUUUGAAAGUGAAUUGGUUUUGCAUUAUGAGUAAAGCAAUAUGAACUUUGCAAAACUUUGAAAUUUAAGUAAGUCGGCCUAUGAGACAUUGAUGUAUACACUAAUGCACUCAUAUGUGAUUUGUGUAUAUUCUUAGUCGUGGUUUCCAAAUGUGUUUACUUUGUUUUGUCGGAUAACUUGGAAAUUGGUAAAUGAUACGAACUUGUCGUAACUUGUGAUUUUGAUGAUACACUUAUAUGUGGUCUAUGUGUAUACAUAGUCGAGACCCCUGAAUUUAUUUACUUGGUUUUGCUUCAUUUGUCUCAAUUAUUUUAAAGUUGUAAAUUGAGAGACGAACUUUGUCGAAAAUAAUCUUUAAGACCAAUUACUUGGAAAAUCUUUUGUGGAUAGCUUUAUAUGAUUAUGUGAAGAUAUGUGAAUGAUUGUUAGGCAUUGGAUAUGAUGUUCAUCAUAACGUAUUGUAUUUUCUCUUUACUUGGAAUGUGGGAAAUUCAUGUAUUGAUAUCGAAUUAUAUGAAGAAGAUGAUAAUUGUAGAUACAUAUAUAUUGAUUAAUUAUGAUGUUGUUUGUGAAUAUAUAUAUAUAUAUAUAUAUAUAUAUAUAUAUAUAUAUAUAUAUAUAUAUAUAUAUAUAUGUGUUGAAUGAUUGUGGUGAAUUUUUGGUGAGUGCAUCUAUGUCAAGUAACGGUGAAUUGUUGGUGAAUGCAUAUAUGUUAAGUGUUUGGUGAGAUUGUGGUGAAUGUUUGUGUGAACAUAUGCAUUUGUUGUUGAGUCAUAUGUUCAUGGAUUCAUGACUGAUGGUGACGGAUUUUAUAUCCAAUUGAGGUGAUUAUGAUGUUCUGUUUGUAUGAAUGGGUAGACGGAGUGCAGGAGUAGUUGCUUUUGGUGAGUGCUUGGAUAGUGGGAGCUAAUCUCCGUUAUCGUUUCUUGGAGUCCUAGAUUUAGGCUCUGAUUAGGACGUUGGUCUUUAUGUUUUUGUUGGAUUUAUUUAUUAUUGAGAUUUUACCCUUAUGUCGGGAUUUGGAGAAUUUAUAUGAUGUUGUAUUUUGAUCUCAUGGCAUGUAGACCUAGGAGAUGUAUGAUCUAUAUCCGCUGCAACUAUUGAGAAUUUUAUAUAUACAUGUUGUUUGGAUUUUGUUGAUGACGUAGAGUCAAUUUCUUGAAUAUUUAUAUUAUUCGCGUGUUUUAUCGCUUUAAUAGAAAUAAGACGUUACACACUUCUUCAUUCAAGUAUCCAUUGAGAAACACACUCUUUACAUCCAUCUGGAAUAACUUAAAUUUUAACAUGCACACCACACCAAGUAGAGGUCUGAUUGAUUCUAAACGUGCAACUGGAGCAAAGGUUUUAUCAAAAUCUAAUCCUUCAAUUUGAGUGUAUCCAUGUGCAACUAACAUGGCUUUAUUCCUUGUUACAACACCCUUUUCAUCUUAUUUGUUCUUAAAAAUCCAUUUUGUGCCAAUGACAUUAAUAUUUUUAGGUCUUUGAACCAACUCUCAUAAUUCAUUCCUUUUAAACUUACUCAACUCUUCUUGCAUAACAUUGAUCUAUAAUUCAUCAGUAAGAGCUUCUUUAACAUUUUUGGGUUCAAUUUUUGAGACAAAGCAUGAAUUGAGUAUCACUUAUCUAGACCUGGUUGUAAUCCCUUGAUCAAGAUUCCCAAUGAUCAAGUCCUUGGAAUGAUUUUGUUGGAUUCUGAUCGAUGGUCCUUUGCUGGUUUGAUGAUUAUCAACUUCAGUUUCAAUAUCUUCAUUAUUUGGUGCAGUUUCUUCUUCCAUACCAAGAUCAUUAUUCUGAAGAUAUGAUGUUCCAUCAUCUUCCUCAACAUUGGAGUGAUUCUCAUGAGAAUCAUCAACUAUGACAUUGAUGGACUCCAUCAUUACUUUUGUUUUGGAAUCAAACACUUUGUAGGCUCUGAUGUUGGUAGAGUAUCCAAGAAAGAUUCCUUCAUCGCUCUUAGGAUUCAUCUUCCUUCCUUGUUCUUUGUCAGGAAAGUAUGUAGCAUUUACUUCCAAAAACAUGGAAAUAUUUAACAGUAUGUUUUCUUCCUUUCCGUAGUUCAUACAGAGUAGAUGUUGUGCCAAUUCUCAAGGUGACACGAUUGUGAAUAUAACACGCAAUAUUCAUGGCUUCUGCCCAUAAGUGAUAGGGAAGACUCUUUGCAUGUAGCAUUACUCUUGCUAAUUCUUGUAGUGUUAUGCUCUUUCGUUCAACCACUCCAUUUUGUUGAGGAGUGAUAGGAGAGGAAAAUUCAUGACUUAUUCCUUCUGAGGAGCAAAAGUCAAAGAAUUUAGCAUUCUCAAAUUCCUUUCCAUGAUCAUUUCUAAUUUUAAUGAUAAUCAUUCCUUUUUCUCUCUGAAGUCUUUGACAGAUAUCCUUGAAAUCCUCAAAGGUAUCAGACUUUUCUUUAAUGAAGUUUAUCCAUGUAAACCUAGAGUAGUCAUAUACAAUCGCAAAGGCAUAUCUUUUACCCCCAAGACUUUCUACCAACAUCGGACUAAUUAAAUCUAUAUGAAGAAGUUCAAGAACUUUUGUUGUGGUCUGAUGUUGUAACCUUGGGUGCGACAUUGCGGUUUGUUUUCCAAUUUGACAUUCUCCACAUAUAUUUUCUUCUUAUAUCUGGAGUUUAGGUAGUUCUCUGAUAGCGUCUUCAGUCAUGAUCCAUUUCAUUCCUCUAAGGUUUAAAAUUGACAUAUAAUCCUUCAUCACAUAGUUGACUAAUGCUGAUCAGAUUGGCAGUCAAUCCUUUCACUAGAAGGACAUCAUCAAGUUGAGGCAGGCCAGUACGGGCUAACUUACCAAUUCUUAAGAUUUUACACUUGCUCACCAAAUGACCAAAAUGCCCUUAAGUCUAAAAUGACUAAAAUACCCUUCUUAAGCCAAAAUCUACUAAUCCCAAGUAAAAUACACACUGGGAAAAAUAAUCACAUACAAGCACAUAUAAACACAUAUAAUAAAUAAUUAAAAUAAUUCUCGGGAAAAACGGGCUAUUACAAUUAAGGUGUGGGUCUCUUGUCGUUUAUUUUCACGUUUUGAUGAGAUUAUCACUCAGUAUGUUGAGAUUUGAGAUUUAUAUUUGGUGAUGUAUUAUGAUAUAUUUUGCAUGACUACUUUGAGGAUUUUUAUUAUCUGUUGAUAAGAUUUUAUGAUAUAAUUCAGAUGCGAGUUUCGGAAAAUUAAUUAUGCAUGUUUUGGUUUAUUGAAGAUGUGACAUCUAAAUUCUUUAUAUGAUUGUAUCAUUUGUGUGAUUUACCACUUUAAGGGUUUAGGGUGUUACAUACACCAGCCAUAAAUAGAGGCACAAAGGUUCCCAUUUCUGGUCGUGUCAUUGCAGCGGUUGUGGAAGCGGUUACUCCUAUUUCCGUCGAAACCGGCAUGGCAGCCCCCCACGGCCGUUGAUACACUAGUACCCAUUGUAGGGGCAGAUGCCUGUGUAAAUUGUGGUUGUGAAGAGGAUUGCAAUGAUUGUGAUGACGCAGAAGCACCACUACUGGUGGAUUUAGCCAUUAUUUUCAAAGUUUUACCACUUCUUAAAUGCAUUCAUAAAUCAAGAGUUUUUCCAGAGAAAAGGUUUCCUAAAAACAGUUGCUAAUUUUCAGAAAACGGUUUUCGCAAGAAAAUUUUUAAAAAUUGUUUGAAAAAACGAAAAUUAUUUUCAAAAUUUGCAUAAACAGGGUUCCCUUGGGCGUGCAAUUUUUUUACCAGUGUUUUUGGUAAACAAGAAGGGCUGGUUUUGGUUAUUACAAGAAGGAUCAAACUAGAAAUCCUAAUACAUGUUGUGCAAAGUUUUUCAGAAAAAAAGGUGUGCGUUCAUCAAAUUCAUAGGUUGCUUUAUGAACAAGAUGAGUUCGUAUGGCGUCAUUCGACAAAAAAAGGUUUUGAAUAAAAGGAAACACAGUAAAUGCAAAAUAAAGGCUAAAAGUUUAAAACGCAGAAACUUAAAGAAAAGAUAAAUUGCAUUACAUUAAAAUAAAGGUGGUUUCACAAAUCAUUUUACAUACAUGUUGUAUAACUCUUUUCUCUCACGUCGGUACCUCAAGUGUUUUAGAAUUUCUAUAAGCGAUUUACGGCUCGUUUUCCAUAUGGAAAACUACUAUUUAUACAUAGCAAAAUAAGUCGAAAAAGCCUAACUCCAUGAUCAACACUUCUUCCAUGUGGACAACCGCUUGUUUCCAAUGUUUCCAUUGAGGAAACCACUUCUCUUUGAAAUUCAAAAUCUUCCCGCCUAAACAGUAAUUGCUUGGCUUCAACGAGCUUGCCUUCGUGGCUUCAUCUUGUCAAACUUUGGGACUUUUGGACCUUUUCAUGCGCUAGGUCUAAAUCUCGUCGAAAUCCUCAAGUUGAAAGGGAAUGACUUCGAUUCCUGCAAAGAUAACAAUAAACCAGAGUUAAACGCAUUAAAUGAGCGUAUUGAAAUUACAGCUUGACAGGGGGCCAAACCAAACCCUGAGUCAAGCAUUAACAAAACCUAUAAUAAGGAAGACCAAGUCUUUUUUUAAUAAGGUCUCCUAUAAUAUGAAUAGUGGGUGAAGACCACCAAACAUAACCAAUAUUUGAGAGACCUAGGUUAGCAAGUUUGUCUGAACAAUGAUUUCUUUCUCUCUAAAUGUGAGAGAUCACAAAAUGAAAAGAGCUCAGUUUCAAAAGACAGUUUUCCCAUCUAUUUUUCAUCUUCCAGGGAACUAUAUGAGGGGAUUUGAAAGCUAGGGUUGCAAGGUUAGAGUCACUCACCCUCACAUAACAUUCAAAGUACAUAUUUCCCAAAGAAAUUUUAUGUAACAAUUUUGAUACAAAGUUUAUUUUGGAAAACUUCAAAAAUUUAAUUUCGGUUUCUUUUAAAUUUCCAGAAACUCAUGCACACAUUUCCAAAUUUAAAAUCGAAAAUAUGUAAGAUUCUUUGUUAGUGUUACUUUUUGUUGAUCUGGAAAACUAUAUAAAUAAAUAAAAACACAUUUUUUUACAAAAAAUAAAUAAAAACACUUAACUGUACAAAAAACCAUUAUUUGGAAGUUAUUCUUCCUCCUGCAAUUAACAACACUACUUUAGAAUAUAAUUCUUAUCUGUCUAGACCUCCCCAUCUUCAGUGGGGAUGCUAAGCAAUUUUUUUGGUGGAAAAACAAAUUGUAUAGUCAUGUCAUAACUCUUGAUGAAGAACUAUGGGGUAUAAUUGAAUAUGGUUGUAGCAUUCCAGUCAAUGCAGAUGGAGCCACUUUAAAAAGAAAAAGUUUGACAAAGGAGCAGAAAAAGCUUUAGAAGAAACAUCAUAAAGUUUGUAGUAUCAUGGUGAAUAAUCUUCCCUUCCCUAAGUAUACUAAAAUUGUUGAGAAAUCUACUGCUAAGAGUAUAUUUGAUUCCCUCUGCUCCACAUAUGAGGGAAAUCAACAAGUGAAUGAAGUCAAGGAAAAUCUUCUAGUCCAACAAUACAAACUAUUCAAAAUGAAGGAUGAUGAAGAUAUUGAAACUAUGGUUUCAAGGUUUCAAACACUUGUCUCUAUUCGACAUGUGCUAAGUGAAUGCUACACUACAACAGAUCGUGUAAAGAAGAUUUUAAGGAGUCAUCCUGUCAGAUGGAGACCCAAGGUAAAUGUUAUUCAAGAAGUUAAAGACUUGAAUACUAUGGGUGUGGAAACUCUGAUAAGCUAACUGAUAAGUUAUGAGAUGGAGUUAUUAGAGGAUCAUGCUUCUAGAAAAAUCAAGUAUAUUUCACUUAAAUCAAAGGGCAAAAUAGUCAAAGCUCUACAAGCUAUAGAGUUUCAAGAAGACACUCCAGAUGAUGAGACUAUAGAUGGAUUUGAUGAGGAUGAGGUGACAUUCUUGUCUAAGAGGCUUCAACACUUGUAUAAGAAGAAAAUAAGAACAUUGGUGCCAAAGGAUUCAACUUCAGGGAAAAUAAAGAUGACCCUAAGAGGAAGCAAAUCUUUCUAGGCUUUAAUAUGUGUUUAGUCCUUGCAAUUAGGAGUCGUUUAAAAAUUGGUCCCUGUAAACGAUAAUCCUUGCAAAUUAGCCUUGCAAUUAUUAAUCACUUAAAAUUUCGUCCCUUGACCCAGUUAAUUACUGCCAUGUCAUCAAAUUAGCAAAAUGGCAUGGAAAUGGACAAAAAUACCCUCUUCUUCCUAAACCUUCAUCUCUUUCUCUCCUUCCUCUGAUCAUCAACAACCACCUUAGCAACAGCAAAAACAUCAACUUUGGUGAAUGUUCAUCAAUGCAAAACACCAACAACAACAACACAAACAUUAACACAACAAAAACAUCAACUUCGUUUCCAUAUUGUUGUAACAUUAUUUACAGUGCUAUUAUCACAUGAACUAUUAUUUUCCUUUCAAUAAGUCAACAUGUUUCAUUCAUGUUGAAAAUGAAAACCCAUAUUCAAAUUCCAAAAAUUACUACUCUUCCAAACAAUUGAAUCUACAAAAUGCAACUUCCACACCAACAAAAACAACAAAUUCAAAAAACUGAAAAAAUCUAAUUGAUAAUUUACCGAAAUUAUCAUUUUCCACCAUCAAUUCAUUCCGUCACCGGAUCUAGUCCCGGCGCCGGUGUUCUUUAUGUUCGAUCUUCAUCGGAAUUAGGUUUUGGAGAAAGGAAGAAGGUUGGGGGGGUUGGAUUAGAAGCUUUUGGAGAUGAAGGAUGCGGGUUUGAACCAGAGAAGGUGGGAAGACGGUGGCGGCGAUUUUGGGAGAGGAAGACGGUGGCGGCAAUUUUGAGAGAGGAAGACGGCGGCGGUGCUGGUGGUGGGUCGGUGGUUGACAGUGGUCUCUCAAUAAUAAAUGAUGCAAAAAUUGUAGAUAUCAUCUUUUUCUUCCAAAACCCACUUCUCUCUCCAUCCUCCCGCUGCUUCCUCUCUAGUAGGAUCCCUAUUCCCAAUUAUACCUCUAUUCCCUUUUUUCUUUCUUCUGUAGACUUUGAUUGGAGGCCAAAUUGUUACGGCCCACAAUAUUUCCUUAUUGGUUCCCUCAAUACCCCCAUAUAUUGAUAUCCUGGAUUUGGCAUUAUUUCUGAAUCCGUAACAAAUUUAUUCAACCAAAUCCAUUUUUAACAUGAAGAAAACAAAACAUAUGAAAGGAAAUUUAUUCAACCAAAUCAUAUUCAUGUGGUGUGGUUCCUGGUUGUAUAUUCUUAACAUAUAUGAGAAGUGAAAAGAGUGAGAAUGAAUGCAGAACUGUUCUUGUGGUGUGGAUGAAUUUGUCACUGUUUCAUGCAUCUGGAAAAAGAAGAAGAUGAGGGUAUUUUUGUCCAUUCCCAUGCCAUUUUGCUAAUUUGAUGACGUGGCAGUCAUUAAGUGGGUUAAGGGACAAAAUUUUAAAUGAUUAAUAAUUGCAAGGCUAUUUUGCAAGGAUUAGCGAUUACAGUGACCAAUUUUUAAAUGACCCCUAAUUGCAAGGACUAAACACAUAUUAAAGCCAUCUCUCUAUGAUGGACCCGACAUCAAUCAUCUGAAUCUGAUUCUAACUUUGAAAACGACAAUGAGGUAUUUUCUAAACUUACUCAUGAAGAGUAUUUAAUGCCAUUAAAUAUCUGCAGAGCAAUUUUCAUAUUAAAUUAUGAAGAAUAACUAUUCGUGUCCAUGUGUAUUUCCCUUCUAGUUGGUGGUGGUUGUUCUCUGCUCACAAAGUCUUUGUGACUUACCCAUUUAUAUUCUAUUAUUUUUCAGAUUAACAAGUAGCUUAGUAGCAUGCAACUAGCAGACCUAAAGUUUAGAAGUGUCACUCUUUUUUGCAGGCCUUCUUGAUUGACAGUUCUUUUCUUGAUGUAUUUAUGUGAGUUGGUCAUGUACCUGCAACUAUUUGGGAGUCUAUAAAUAUAAUAUUUUCAGUUGUAUAAUCAGCUAGUUAUAUCAUUUUGGAAUUAUCGCUAAUGAUAUAGGUUUAUGAACAUGAAUAUGAUUUUGGAAACGCUGAAAAUACAAAGGUUACUAUGUCGAAAUUUAAGUGAAAGUUAGUUCAGAAAUUGCUUAUUUAUUGUUUGGCAAGUUUGGUGGUUAGGCUUGCCGAUAAAUCAAGGACUAGUUCAUGCAACGGUCACGAUUGUAAAUUUUUGAUCGUGACACAAACAAAGAAAGUCAAUGUAUCUAAAUAUCAUAUAGUUCAAAUAACAAGCUAAACUCACAUUUCACAAACAUUUUCUCCAUGGGUUUGAAAUAUUUUUUUGGCUAUUUAAUCUAAUGAUCAUUGGACCAAUUUAUUUAUUUUCAAUUCAUCAUUUUUAACACAUUUCUCAAGGAAAUAUCUUCAUUGAUAUAAAUUGAACAUAUAGAUGUGAAACUGUUAAAAACUUUCAAACAAAAAAUGAAAUAAACAACAUAUUAGUGAGUCAUUGGACUGAAUACUGUGUUUUAUUUAUAACAAAAAACAAACAAUACAAUAUAAAUAAUCAUACUUCAACCGAAAAUUUCUCUCUCUUAUCCAAGAUGAGGCUAAUUCAAAAAGAACAUUUAUUGAUCCAAAUCGUGGGUCAAAUACUUUUUGUACCAUUUAGCUGUGUUUGUCGGUAUACGUUUGAGACAAUCAUUAAAAUCAACAUGAUAAAGCCCCAUAUUAUGAGAAUAUCCAUCGUAAAAAUCAAACGUAUCAAAUGCUGCCCAUGCAAAGUAUCCACGAACAUUUACGCCAUCACUGUCAAUGUAAAAAUAUAAUUGCAUUAAAUAUAUGUUUCUUUUGGAAACAAAGUUAUGAAAGCAUGCUAUUUCAGAAUAGAUUUGUUUCAUAACUUUGAAUUUGUCGCCUUUCGAUAUUAGAUAUGUUUUGAACUAAAAUUAUAAAUAUUAAAAGAUGUAACAACUUCUUCAAAGUGAACAAUACAUUUUAUGAGUAAAACCAUGAUUGUUAGAAAGAUAUUAAAAUUUAUGCUCUAAAGAUUCUUAUAUAUAAAGAUGAUUAAAUGUUUAAAU